rnacentral:rRNA from 1 species
CAGCAGCCGCGGUAAUACAGAGGUCCCAAGCGUUGUUCGGAUUCACUGGGCGUAAAGGGUGCGUAGGUGGUCGGGUAAGUCUGAUGUGAAAUCUCCGAGCUCAACUCGGAAAUGGCAUUGGAUACUAUUCGGCUAGAGAGUUGGAGGGGGGACUGGAAUACUUGGUGUAGCAGUGAAAUGCGUAGAUAUCAAGUGGAACACCAGUGGCGAAGGCGAGUCCCUGGACAACUUCUGACACUGAGGCAUUAUAACUAGGGGAGCAAACAGGAUUAGAUACCCUGGUAGUCCACGCUGUAAACGAUGAGAGCUAGGUGUCGUGGGUAUUGACCCCCGCGGUGCCGAAGCUAACGCAUUAAGCGCUCCGCCUGGGAAGUACGGUCGCAAGACUAAAACUCAAAG